CUAUCUACAGGCUUAACACAUGCAAGUCGAGGGGCAGCAUGGUCUUAGCUUGCUAAGGCCGAUGGCGACCGGCGCACGGGUGAGUAACACGUAUCCAACCUGCCGUCUACUCUUGGACAGCCUUCUGAAAGGAAGAUUAAUACAAGAUGGCAUCAUGAGUCCGCAUGUUCACAUGAUUAAAGGUAUUCCGGUAGACGAUGGGGAUGCGUUCCAUUAGAUAGUAGGCGGGGUAACGGCCCACCUAGUCUUCGAUGGAUAGGGGUUCUGAGAGGAAGGUCCCCCACAUUGGAACUGAGACACGGUCCAAACUCCUACGGGAGGCAGCAGUGAGGAAUAUUGGUCAAUGGGCGAGAGCCUGAACCAGCCAAGUAGCGUGAAGGAUGACUGCCCUAUGGGUUGUAAACUUCUUUUAUAAAGGAAUAAAGUCGGGUAUGGAUACCCGUUUGCAUGUACUUUAUGAAUAAGGAUCGGCUAACUCCGUGCCAGCAGCCGCGGUAAUACGGAGGAUCCGAGCGUUAUCCGGAUUUAUUGGGUUUAAAGGGAGCGUAGAUGGAUGUUUAAGUCAGUUGUGAAAGUUUGCGGCUCAACCGUAAAAUUGCAGUUGAUACUGGAUAUCUUGAGUGCAGUUGAGGCAGGCGGAAUUCGUGGUGUAGCGGUGAAAUGCUUAGAUAUCACGAAGAACUCCGAUUGCGAAGGCAGCCUGCUAAGCUGCAACUGACAUUGAGGCUCGAAAGUGUGGGUAUCAAACAGGAUUAGAUACCCUGGUAGUCCACACGGUAAACGAUGAAUACUCGCUGUUUGCGAUAUACUGCAAGCGGCCAAGCGAAAGCGUUAAGUAUUCCACCUGGGGAGUACGCCGGCAACGGUGAAACUCAAAGGAAUUGACGGGGGCCCGCACAAGCGGAGGAACAUGUGGUUUAAUUCGAUGAUACGCGAGGAACCUUACCCGGGCUUAAAUUGCAGAUGAAUUACGGUGAAAGCCGUAAGCCGCAAGGCAUCUGUGAAGGUGCUGCAUGGUUGUCGUCAGCUCGUGCCGUGAGGUGUCGGCUUAAGUGCCAUAACGAGCGCAACCCUUGUUGUCAGUUACUAACAGGUUCCGCUGAGGACUCUGACAAGACUGCCAUCGUAAGAUGUGAGGAAGGUGGGGAUGACGUCAAAUCAGCACGGCCCUUACGUCCGGGGCUACACACGUGUUACAAUGGGGGGUACAGAGGGCCGCUACCACGCGAGUGGAUGCCAAUCCCCAAAACCUCUCUCAGUUCGGACUGGAGUCUGCAACCCGACUCCACGAAGCUGGAUUCGCUAGUAAUCGCGCAUCAGCCACGGCGCGGUGAAUACGUUCCCGGGCCUUGUACACACCGCCCGUCAAGCCAUGGGAGCCGGGGGUACCUGAAGUGCGUAACCGCGAGGAGCGCCCUAGGGUAAAACUGGUGACUGG
rnacentral:rRNA from 1 species